GAGAAACAGAACAGGGUGAAGACAAUUAAUUGAACUUGAGAUACGUGGGAUCUGAGAUGCCCGGUCAGCUGUCUACAUGAUGUCAAAUGGGCCAGUGGAUAUGUGGAUCUGGGUGUCAGUUGUGAGUCAUCCAUGCUGGAGAUGGUCUCAGUUGAUGCCCUCAUGGGGUGAGAUGAUGCUUAGGGAGAGGGUACUGAGAGAGGACCUCUAGGGUAAUUCCUGGAGAGACAACCAGAGACAAAGAACCCCCGGGGAGACUCAGAAGUCACGGGAAGAACGGGGAAAGGAAAAUCAACCAGAUAAAUAGAGGCAGCCAUCAUGUUGUGUGAUGCUAAGAAACGAGAAAGCUGAAGCCUGAGAAGCAUCCUUUAAAUGCAGCACCACUACUCCUGUUUUCGGAAACCAGGAGCAACACAAGAUGGUCACUGGUUGCUGAAUGAAAUAAAUCAUCUGUCUCAUUAGUCCGGACAAGCACGAAGAAAGAGCAGCGUCGUCUGACAUCCACAGUGUGAGAAGCAGCCUCAGACAGCAGCAUUAAAUGGCAUCUUAGUAUACCUACUUAGUACAUUUAGGACACGCUAUGCAGAGAGAGACUGCAGAGGUUCCAAAGCUCUACUUUGGAAGUGACUUACAAACACACAGCAAAACAAUGAAGAUGAAAGAAACCCCAAGAAAUCAGUUCUCUUUUUUAAAUUGAAAACAAGCAGGAAAUGGCACCGAUGGAGCUAAAGCUGGGCUUAAUGGUUUACAGUGGAAGAUGGCACCCGCUGACCCUCAGGGUCACCUCCUCACAAUGCCCUCAAGCCGGCUGACGGCAGCCCACCCCUCUGCUCCUUCCAUGACUUGACCUGUAACAGAAUGACUGCUAAUAAUCACAUUGUAACAACGUCCGAGGAAAAGAAACCUGACCCUCCUUCUUAUCCACCAUCCCACCCCACUCAGGAUACUUCUUCCCACCCUCAGCUUCCUGCCCUCCCACCGAAUCUCUACAUUUUAAUUUCUUCUCUUCCAAAUGAAAGAGUAGGCUCCAACCCACAAGUGCUGUCUGGCUGGCUGCUCUGCGGUACAGCUUUUCCAGGCAGAAGAACAGAACCAGAAAAGCCCCUGGGGUGCAGACUGGCCCGGCAACAUGCUCCGCUCUCGCAUCGAUCAGGUUCAUUGUCUCAAAUGUAACACAGAAUUAGACUCACCAUUUUAAGAUACGUAAGAACAUGUUCGUGGAUCCGGGGUCUGAGCCAAGCUCAUCUCUGAUUCUAAAGCUGACCUUGAAUUCUCUCCUGUUUCGUUGUGGACGUAUGUGUGGAUGCUCAACAUCUCAUGUUGGAUACCACAGAGGUCAGUCAAUGGAGCAGAAUGCAUAAACUUUGAAAAUUACUACAAUGAAACACUACAAAAAUUACAAGCCAGAACUACAAGCUUUCCUCAUGUUUUCAUCACCUACCGAUUUGUUUAUUGGUCUUCCAAAGCAUUUGCCCGAUCUGGAGGACCAUAUUGUGAAUAUAAGGGUACCAUUCGUUUACCCGUAAGAGGCAUUAUUUUGAUGUGUUGCCGGGGGCUACUCAUCAACAGUCAUCAGUUGCACAAUAUAAUUAUUAAAAAUCAC